CUCGACUGUAGCCUGGAAUUGGGUUCGGGCUUUUCUUGCGCAGCCUAGGUGGGAGGCUUUGAAAGUUUUCUUUCGGGGAAACUGGAGCCAACAGUGAGAGACCACUCUGGAGGAGCUAGAAUUCUAAUGGCGAUCCUUGAAUCAGGACGCUUGACAGUUUCAGGCGGGCAGUAUGACUGGGGCGGUCGCCUCCUAAAAGGUAACGGAGGCGUGCAAAGGUUCCCUCAGGCUGGACGGAAAUCAGCCGAAGCGUGUAAAGGCAGAAGGGAGCUUGACUGCAAGACCUACAAGUCGAGCAGGGGCGAAAGCCGGCCUUAGUGAUCCGACGGUACCGUGUGGAAGGGCCGUCGCUCAACGGAUAAAAGUUA
rnacentral:rRNA from 1 species